rnacentral:rRNA from 1 species
GGGCUGCAGUAUUUUGACUGUACAAAGGUAGCAUAAUCAAUAGUCUCUUAAUUGGUGACUUGUAUGAAAGAUUGGAUGAGAUAUAAACUGUCUCUAAUUGAUUUAUAAAAAUUAAUUUUUUAGUCAAAAAGCUAAAAUAAUUUUAAAAGACGAGAAGACCCUAUAGAGUUUAAUAUUUUAUUUAGUAAUUAUUAAUAUAUGUAAUUUUAAAAAUUAAAAUUAAAUGAAAUAUUUUGUUGGGGUGAUAAAAAAAUUAAAUUAACUUUUUUUAAUUGUAAACAUUAAUUUAUGGUUAAAUGAUCCAUUUAUAGUGAUUAAAAGAAAAAAUUACCUUAGGGAUAACAGCGUAAUUUUUUUUUUUAGUUCAAAUAGGAAAAAAAGUUUGCGACCUCGAUGUUGGAUUAA